AUUGAACGCUGGCGGCAGGCCUAACACAUGCAAGUCGAGCGAGCGGCGGACGGGGGAGUAAUGUAUGGGGACUGCCCGAUAGAGGGGGAUAACUACUGGACACGGUAGCUAAUACCGCAUACUAUCGGAUACCACAUAUGGGAUUACCUAGUAGGUGAGGUAAUGGCUCACCUAGGCGACGAUCCCUAGCUGGGCUGAGAGGAGGAUCAGCCACAGUGGGACUGAGACACGGCCCAGACUCCGACGGAGGCAGCAGUGGGGAAUAUUGCACACUGGGCGCAAGCCUGAUGCAGCCAUGCCGCGUGUAUGAAGAAGGCCCUAGGGUUUUAAAGUACUUUCAGUCGGGAGGCGUUACCGACAGAAGAAGCACCGGCUAACUCCGUGCCAGCAGCCGCGGUAAUAC
rnacentral:rRNA from 1 species